CAACAGGGAUUGCCCUAGUAACGGCGAGUGAAGCGGCAACAGCUCAAAUUUGAAAUCUGGCCUCGGCCCGAGUUGUAAUUUGCAGAGGAUGUUUCUGGCGCGGUGCCUUCCGAGUUCCCUGGAACGGGACGCCAAAGAGGGUGAGAGCCCCGUAUGGUCGGACACCAAGCCUGUGUGAAACUCCUUCGACGAGUCGAGUAGUUUGGGAAUGCUGCUCUAAAUGGGAGGUAAAUCUCUUCUAAAGCUAAAUACCGGCCAGAGACCGAUAGCGCACAAGUAGAGUGAUCGAAAGAUGAAAAGCACCUUGAAAAGGGGGUUAAAUAGUACGUGAAAUUGUUGAAAGGGAAGCACUUAUGACCAGACUUGGGCCGGGCGGCUCAUCAGGGGUUCUCCCCUGUGCACUCCGCCCGGCACAGGCCAGCAUCGGUUCUCGUGGGGGGAUAAGACCGUCAGGAACGUAGCACCCUCCGGGGUGUGUUAUAGCCUGGCGGACGAUACCCUCGUGGGGACCGAGGUUCGCGCUCCGCAAGGAUGCUGGCGUAAUGGUCAUCAGUGACCCGUCUUGAAACACGGACCAAGGAGUCGUCCAUUAGAGCGAGCGUUUGGGUGUAAAACCCGCACGCGUAAUGAAAGUGAACGCAGGUGAGAGCUUCGGCGCAUCAUCGACCGAUCCUGAUGUUCUCGGAAGGAUUUGAGUAAGAGUUUUAACGGACGGACCCGAAAGACAGUGAACUAUGCUUGUAUAGGGUGAAGCCAGAGGAAACUCUGGUGGAGGCUCGCAGCGGUUCUGACGUGCAAAUCGAUCGUCAAAUAUGAGCAUGGGGGCGAAAGACUAAUCGA
rnacentral:rRNA from 1 species